rnacentral:tRNA from 1 species
GGUUAUGGCUCAGUGGCAGAGCUCUUACCUAGCAUGUGUGAGGCACUGGGUUCAAUCCUCAGCACCA